rnacentral:tRNA from 1 species
GGCACAGUGGUUAAGAGCUUGGCUGCUAACCAAAAGGUCGGUGGUUCAAACCCGCCCUGUGGCU